UGGAGCCUACGGGAGGCAGCAGUAGGGAAUCUUCCACAAUGGGCGAAAGCCUGAUAGAGCAACGCCGCGUGGGUGAAGAAGGUCUUCGGAUCGUAAAACCCUGUUGUUAGAGAAGAAAGUGCGUGAGAGUAACUGUUCACGUUUCGACGGUAUCUAACCAGGAAGCCACGGCUAACUACGUGCCAGCAGCCGCGGUAAUACGUAGGUGGCAAGCGUUAUCCGGAUUUAUUGGGCGUAAAGGGAACGCAGGCGGUCUUUUAAGUCUGAUGUUAAAGCCUUC
rnacentral:rRNA from 1 species